UCGAUCCUCGAUCGUCUGCAGUAGAAAUUCAUCAGAUGUAGCCUAGUUGUUAGAAAUUCCAGACGUGUUCAGCGGGUAGCUAAUAAAUGUUCAGUGCGUUCCGUUUUAAACAUUCUUUUGGCUACUCGUUAAUACGCUGAAAUUUUUCAUUUUUUCAAACCAACCUGAGGGACACUUUUUCACGACACACACGAUUGUUUGAAAGUUGAUUUUUCACUAGACUUCAUUUGAAUGUGCAGUUCCUAUCCUCAACCCUACAGUGUGCACAAAUAGGCAAUGGAAAAAAUCUGCUCAUUGUGCUGAUCUGUGGAAUUUUUAGCUGUGGACUUUCUUUAGAUGACUCUUGUAUCGUAACUAUUUUCCUCUUCUUGGAACAAGGAACAUAAGAGUUCUUGAUGCUAACUAAGUGUUAUUGGAAAGAUUGUAAAAAGAUGUUAAGCAGGAAAUGCCUAAAGUCCUACGAGCUACGAAAGUUUUACCUACAAAUGUUUAGCGUUUCGUGCUGCAACUAGUAGUUGAUAUUCAAGGAUGUUAUGCCUAAAAUUGGAAUUCAGCUAUCCGAGAUUAGCAACAUUCAAGUACUUAAAAGCAAACGGAAACUCUAGAUGGCGUUGAUGUGCGUCUAUGAUGAAGAUUAUGAGUGACAAGUUAAAUGGGUGUUUGUUACGUUACCCUGUUAUGUGUUUCAAAGGAUUUUUGCGUCAAAAAAUAUACGAUUGCUUUUUGUAAGUGGUGGUGUUGCGCGUUGUCAACUAUGCCAGCUGCUGGACCAGUAGCCUGCUGUCCUGCUAUCAAUGUACCACAAGAGAUCCUGACACUUUAAGAAGGCAACUAUUGCUUACAUGAAGAUCACCAUCCAGUUCAAGUACUGUUAAUGGACCUCAAGCCAUUGGUUUAAGCUUAGUGAUGUGUUCUCUCACCAGUCAACGACAGAGUCUUCAUCUACUUUGUGUUGCUAACCAUCAGCCCUCAGCAUCCCAGGUAUCCAGAUUUCCAAGUUUCUCUGAUUAGUUAACCAUCAUCCAUACCCUUCAGCUCUUCAUUGUGGCUUCUCUUCCUCUCAUCUUAGUCUGCUGAAUGCCAACAUUGAAUAAUGUUCAUCAUCAUUGCCUUUCCAUGAAAAUCUUCAUUGUUAAUCCUGCUGUUCUUCUCACCGUUACUUAGCCAGCUCACAUGGAUAGGCUUUAACAACAUCUCCAUUUUUUGGACUGCAAAUAUUCAUUUUCCUUCGGUACAACACUGCCUUUUUGACAAUUUUGGUAGUUUCGCCCCCAGUGGACCAAACGCAACUACAUUUUCUUCGUCUUCCUGUCGUUGUUGUCUACGACUUACCCUCAUCGCUGUCUUCGUUGACGUCUUCGCCUUCAUCUCCGUCUCAUCGUCUUGGUCGUCUUCGCCUUCAUCUCCGUCUCGUCGUCUUCGCCGUCUUUGUCUCGUCGUCUUCGCCGUCUUUGUCUCGUCGUCUUCGCCGUCUUUGUCUGCGCCAUCACCUUGUCACCGGCUUCUCCUUCGCCCUUCACGAGGGAAUUCACCGUGGAUCGUCGCUCUGGUAUUGUUUUAUUUUGCAUUGUAAUUGUUAAGUUAACCCGUUGGCUGCCACCCCGUUUGCGUCCCAUUUUUGUUGUAGCUUGUAGGGACCGGCCGCAAUGGCCUUCGCCGCAAGGCGCCUUAGG